GAUGAACGCUAGCGGCAGGCUUAACACAUGCAAGUCGAGGGGUAUAGUAGCAAUACUAGAGACCGGCGCACGGGUGCGUAACGCGUAUGCAAUCUACCUUUCACAGAGGGAUAGCCCAGAGAAAUUUGGAUUAAUACCUCAUAGUAUAGUACCUUGGCAUCAAGGAACUAUUAAAGUCACAACGGUGAAAGAUGAGCAUGCGUCCCAUUAGCUAGUUGGUAUGGUAACGGCAUACCAAGGCGACGAUGGGUAGGGGUCCUGAGAGGGAGAUCCCCCACACUGGUACUGAGACACGGACCAGACUCCUACGGGUGGCUG
rnacentral:rRNA from 1 species